rnacentral:tRNA from 1 species
GGGGUUGUAGCUCAGUGGUAGAGUGCUCACCUCUUAUGUGGAGGGUACUGGGUUCGAUCCUCAGCACCACA